UACAGAGGGGGCAAGCGUUGUUCGGAAUUACUGGGCGUAAAGGGCGCGUAGGCGGCCUGCUAAGUCGAACGUGAAAUCCCCGGGCUCAACCCGGGAACUGCGUCCGAUACUGGCAGGCUUGAAUCCGGGAGAGGGAUGUGGAAUUCCUGGUGUAGCGGUGGAAUGCGCAGAUAUCAGGAGGAACACCGAUAGCGAAGGCAGCUCGCUGGGACGGUACUGACGCUGAGGUGCGAAAGCGUGGGGAGCGAACAGG
rnacentral:rRNA from 1 species